rnacentral:rRNA from 1 species
UACGUAGGGUGCGAGCGUUAAUCGGAAUUACUGGGCGUAAAGCGUGCGUAGGCGGUUCGCUGUGUCCGAUGUGAAAGCCCCGGGCUUAACCUGGGAAUGGCAUUGGAAACUGGCGGGCUUGAGUGUGGCAGAGGGGGGUGGAAUUCCACGUGUAGCAGUGAAAUGCGUAGAGAUGUGGAGGAACACCGAUGGCGAAGGCAGCCCCCUGGGCUAACACUGACGCUCAUGCACGAAAGCGUGGGGAGCAAACAGG